rnacentral:rRNA from 1 species
CUACGGGGGGCUGCAGUGGGGAAUAUUGGACAAUGGGCGCGAGCCUGAUCCAGCCAUGCCGCGUGAGUGAUGAAGGCCCUAGGGUUGUAAAGCUCUUUCGCCAGGGACGAUAAUGACGGUACCUGGAUAAGAAGCCCCGGCUAACUUCGUGCCAGCAGCCGCGGUAAUACGAAGGGGGCUAGCGUUGUUCGGAAUCACUGGGCGUAAAGCGCACGUAGGCGGAUCUUUAAGUCAGGGGUGAAAUCCCGAGGCUCAACCUCGGAACUGCCUUUGAUACUGGGGGUCUCGAGUCCGGGAGAGGUGAGUGGAACUGCGAGUGUAGAGGUGAAAUUCGUAGAUAUUCGCAAGAACACCAGUGGCGAAGGCGGCUCACUGGCCCGGUACUGACGCUGAGGUGCGAAAGCGUGGGGAGCAAACAGGAUUAGAUACCCGCGUAGUC